UGGGGAAUUUUGGACAAUGGGGGCAACCCUGAUCCAGCAAUGCCGCGUGUGUGAAGAAGGCCUUCGGGUUGUAAAGCACUUUUGUCCGGGAAGAAAUCCCCUGCCCUAAUACGGCGGGGGAUGACGGUACCGGAAGAAUAAGCACCGGCUAACUACGUGCCAGCAGCCGCGGUAAUACGUAGGGUGCGAGCGUUAAUCGGAAUUACUGGGCGUAAAGCGUGCGCAGGCGGUGAUGUAAGACCGAUGUGAAAUCCCCGGGCUCAACCUGGGAACUGCAUUGGUUGACUGCAUUGCUCGAGUAUGGCAGAGGGGGGUGGAAUUCCACGUGUAGCAGUGAAAUGCGUAGAGAUGUGGAGGAACACCGAUGGCG
rnacentral:rRNA from 1 species